UACGGGGGGGGCAAGCGUUGUUCGGAAUUACUGGGCGUAAAGGGCUCGUAGGCGGCCAACUAAGUCGGACGUGAAAUCCCUCGGCUUAACCGGGGAACUGCGUCCGAUACUGGAUGGCUUGAGUUCGGGAGAGGGAUGCGGAAUUCCAGGUGUAGCGGUGAAAUGCGUAGAUAUCUGGAGGAACACCGGGUGGCGAAGGCGGCAUCCUGGACCGACACUGACGCUGAGGAGCGAAAGCCAGGGGAGCAAACGGGG
rnacentral:rRNA from 1 species